rnacentral:lncRNA from 1 species
UAGUAAAGUAAUGGUGAUUUUAUCUUUUUACUUCCAUUACAGGGGACCACAGGUGGCAUCUACUGUGGCCCAGACAUGCAUAUUACUGGAAGAUGUCUGCUAUUUUUAUAGCUGUGGCUUAGGGCUUUCACAUACUGCUAAUGAGAUGAAGCACUAUGCUUUUAGUUUCUGUAGUGAUUUUCAUAGCCAGUCGUGCAGGAAGACAUCAGUCAACAGUCAUUGCAGAUAAAUUUGGUGAAGCCAGUAACUCACCUGUGUCCCUAUGGAUUGUGGGCCUUUUCUUGCCAGUGGAGAAUGAAAAUCUUCAAGUGUCAUCACUAGCUGUUGUUUUUGCUUUAUGUUUAACUGACAUGAUUAUUGGCACCUCAGAAGAGUAGCACUAUUUUCUCUAUUUUUGUGUGUUCCUCCCUGGCACUAGCGGGGAGGUGUAGUAGCUUUUCUCAUUGCUUGGUGUUGACUGGUGAAGAAUUAUCAUGCCAGAUUUUGAACAUCCAAACUCAGUGAUAACAUUUGAAGACUAAAUACCUUUUUUGAUGCUACUUCUUUUAAGACUAUUUUAUGAAUAGUAAUAUUGCUUAUGUAAUAGCAGUCCCUUUUUAUACUUAUGCAAUGGGCAAUUUUUGGAAUAAACUCUUAUUUUGUUACUUUACCCUGCA